rnacentral:rRNA from 1 species
ACUACGGGAGGCAGCAGUGAGGAAUAUUGGUCAAUGGACGAGAGUCUGAACCAGCCAAGUAGCGUGAAGGAUGACUGCCCUAUGGGUUGUAAACUUCUUUUAUAAAGGAAUAAAACGAGGCACGUGUGCCUUUUUGCAUGUACUUUAUGAAUAAGGAUCGGCUAACUCCGUGCCAGCAGCCGAGGUAAUACGGAGGAUCCGAGCGUUAUCAGGAUUUAUUGGGUUUAAAGGGAGCGUAAAUGGGUUGUUAAGUCAGUUGUGAAAGUUUGCGGCUCAACCGUAAAAUUGCAAUUGAUACUGGCAAUCUUGAGUACAGUUGAGGUAGGCGGAAUGCGUGGUGUAGCGGUGAAAUGCUUAGAUAUCACGAAGAACCCCGAUUGCGAAGGCAGCUUACUAAACUGUGACUGACAUUGAUGCUCGAAAGUGUGGGUAUCAAACAGGAUUAGAUACCCUGGUAGUC